UGGGGAAUAUUGCACAAUGGGCGAAAGCCUGAUGCAGCGACGCCGCGUGAGGGAUGACGGCCUUCGGGUUGUAAACCUCUUUCAGCAGGGAAGAAGCGAAAGUGACGGUACCUGCAGAAGAAGCGCCGGCUAACUACGUGCCAGCAGCCGCGGUAAUACGUAGGGCGCAAGCGUUGUCCGGAAUUAUUGGGCGUAAAGAGCUCGUAGGCGGCUUGUCGCGUCGGAUGUGAAAGCCCGAGGCUUAACCUCGGGUCUGCAUUCGAUACGGGCUAGCUAGAGUGUGGUAGGGGAGAUCGGAAUUCCUGGUGUAGCGGUGAAAUGCGCAGAUAUCAGGAGGAACACCGGUGGCGAAGGCGGAUCUCUGGGCCAUUACUGACGCUGAGGAGCGAAAGCGUGGGGAGCGAACAGG
rnacentral:rRNA from 1 species